GCCAGGAGUCUGUCAGCGAGUUCUGCAUGUCCUGGUGACCCUCCACCUGUUUCACAGGUCGUUGGACUGUGGCAGGAAGCCGGACUACAAGGAAAGAACCCACGCAAAAACAGGAAGAACAUGCAAACUCCACACAGAGCGACGGUAGAGCUGAACUCAAGACCUUCUUCCUGUGCGGUAACGGUGCUAACCACUGUGCCGCCCGCGUAAGAGGAGAGCCACUGAGGGAACGCCUUCCGCCCUCC